rnacentral:rRNA from 1 species
GGAUAACACCUGGAAACAGAUGCUAAUACCGGAUAACAACACUAGACGCAUGUCUAGAGUUUGAAAGAUGGUUCUGCUAUCACUCUUGGAUGGACCUGCGGUGCAUUAGCUAGUUGGUAAGGUAACGGCUUACCAAGGCAAUGAUGCAUAGCCGAGUUGAGAGACUGAUCGGCCACAUUGGGACUGAGACACGGCCCAAACUCCUACGGGAGGCAGCAGUAGGGAAUCUUCCACAAUGGACGAAAGUCUGAUGGAGCAACGCCGCGUGAGUGAAGAAGGGUUUCGGCUCGUAAAGCUCUGUUGGUAGUGAAGAAAGAUAGAGGUAGUAACUGGCCUUCAUUUGACGGUAAUUACUUAGAAAGUCACGGCUAACUACGUGCCAGCAGCCGCGGUAAUACGUAGGUGGCAAGCGUUGUCCGGAUUUAUUGGGCGUAAAGCGAGUGCAGGCGGUUCAAUAAGUCUGAUGUGAAAGCCUUCGGCUCAACCGGAGAAUUGCAUCAGAAACUGUUGAACUUGAGCGCAGAAGAGGAGAGUGGAACUCCAUGUGUAGCGGUGGAAUGCGUAGAUAUAUGGAAGAACACCAGUGGCGAAGGCGGCUCUCUGGUCUGCAACUGACGCUGAGGCUCGAAAGCAUGGGUAGCGAACAGGAUUAGAUACCCUGGUAGUCCAUGCCGUAAACGAUGAGUGCUAAGUGUUGGGAGGUUUCCGCCUCUCAGU